GCCAGCAGCCAUAUCACCCUGCAACUCACAACUGGUAACCCACUGAAGCUAAGCAGGUGUGAGCCUGGUCAGUACUUGGAUGGGAGACCGCCUGGGAAAAACUAAGGUUGCUGCUGGAA
ensembl:rRNA 5S_rRNA 5S ribosomal RNA